ensembl:Y_RNA Y_RNA Y RNA
GGCUGGUCCCAAGGUAGUGACUUAUCUCAAUUGUUCACAGUUACUGAUCGAACUCCUUGUUCUACUCUUUCCCCCCCUUCUCACUACUGCACUUGACUUGUCUUUA